GACAGAGGUCCCGAGCGUUAGGCGGAAUCACUGGGCUUAAAGCGUGUGUAGGCGGACUUCUAAGUACCUUGUGAAAUCCCACGGCUCAACCGUGGAACUGCUGGGUAUACUGGUUGUCUUGAGCCAGCUAGGGGCGAGCGGAACAGACGGUGGAGCGGUGAAAUGCGUAGAUAUCGUCUGGAACGCCGAAGGUGAAAACAGCUCGCUGGGGCUGCGCUGACGCUGAGACACGAAAGCCAGGGGAGCGAACGGG
rnacentral:rRNA from 1 species